AAUACACUUUAACACCGAUAAAAUUUACCUUGUUUAUAUGACUGACACAGUGUCAUCUACAAACCCACAAAGGACUUUCGCCAGAAUCUGGCCUAGCCAGGCAGGAGCAGCAGGUGAUAGGAGCAAGGUUGGGAACUAAGGAGUAUCCCAUGUGGCACCAGGAAUAAUGGGGAGCUCUGUGUAACUGCCUGUACUUGACGUGAGAAGUGCCUUUGUGGUUCUGGCUGCCUGUACUGACCAUCUGGUCGGCAGGCACUGGGCUACACGCUUUCCUUGCAUUACGUCAUUUCCUUCUCCAGGAGGCAGUAGUGGUACCUAUUUCACAAAGAAAUCCAAAGCUCAGCGCAUUCAGGUCACUACCCAAGCGCACAUUGUAAGGAAAGAGUUGGGUCUGGGGCUUUCUCUGACUCCAUGGGCUCUCCUUACUCAAAGGGACCGUGUGUGGUGGACCUUCGCCCUCUGAUGCUUAUGUGUUUCAUGUUUUUCAUCCUAAAUUUGGCACUGCAUGUUUCUCUCCUGAGAAACAGACACCAUUUCAUUUUGCUGCUAAAAUCCCUUACCUCUGAAAUAUUAGGCUUGUCUACAAGUCCUAUGAACUGUGCACUGUACACCAGCCUCCUUAAAGACCUGCAGCCCAUGCGUCACCUGCUCAGCCUCACAAGCAAGCACUCUCUGCAGCCGCAUUAGUUUGCCUAGGUUUUUCACCAGGGAUCUUUAAUGCCUUAUCCUGGUCAUAGACUGUAAGAGAAUUUCCAAUUCUUAAAUUCCCUAUACACUUUGACUGAUUUAUCUUGGAGUCUAUAACUUUUCUCAUCCUGGUCCAUUUCUCUCUUUUAUAUUUGCUCUUAGUUAAGUUUUUGAGCUACCUCUCCAUUUUCUUUGGGAUCAUUGUGGUUCUUGAACGCUGCUAGGAUAUCUCUUUAAUGUUAGAUUCCAAAAUAUAUGCCCAGAAUUUGUGAGGAAUUCCUCCAUAGACAAAAGAGAGCUGUUCAUUUGCUUUUUCAGUGAGUGCCAUUGGAUUACUCCCUGUGACAAGGAGCAGCCAUGGUUUUUCCUAUAAAUAACUUUCUACUGCUUCCUUCAUUAAAGACUAGUGGCCAUUUGAGAAGUGAGACAGUUCCAAUCAGGACUGGAGUUUGUCUUUUUCUGUUUACAUUUGGCAAAGAGUGGUACGCCAUCAGGGCAGAGUGCAAAGCAGAAGAGGGCGUAAGAGCCAGGAUGGGAGUGGAGCUUCGUACCCCCAGCAAUGUCUGCUGUGGGGCAGCAUCCCUGCCUUGGUGCAUUUACCAGCUGCGUGAAGCUCUCCAAAAGCAAGCAUCCAAGGCUGACACUGCCUCAGGAGAGGAAGGCCAGGUCACACCGUUCCUUUUGCCCCAUAGUGGGCUAUUUAUUUCCUGCACCCAGUGUGAGUGGAGUGAGGAGAAAUGAACAAGCAAACGUGCAAUUUUGUUUGGCCCAAGUCAUUUCAACAUCUGUAAUGCAACCAAGAAUUCAUCCAUCACCAAAUAAAGUCAUUACUGAGGCAGCUGUUAUCCAGACAUGGCUCUCAGCUGGGGCGGUGGGAGAGCAAUUUAUCUCUUAGCAGCAGCUUGCCAACAUCUAACUAGCGAUUUACAGGGGAGGAGAAAUCCUCAAAAUAUAAGGUUCAGGAAGACAUGUUGAAAACGGCUCUUCAAACUCUUUUGAAAUUAUGUCUAUUGUUUUUCAAUUUAGAAAAUACUCAUGGAAAAUUCAGAAGCCUGUAUACAGGAAAAAAAUGACUUUAAGCAAGAUAACCAUCAUUCAUCUUUUAAUAUAUUCCCCUUCCAGGCAUUUCUCCAUAUAUUAGAUAAAUAGCACGACAUCUACUCGGAGCUGUUUUCCUAGGGAUGUCAGCGUCAGCGUUUGUUGCGAGAAGUCUCGGCAGCCCCGUUUUCCUCUCUCACCCCUGGAAUCCCCUCCAGAUGUGGUUAGUUCACAGCGUGUUCAGCUCAAAGUGCCUUGAUGCGAGGUAAGUCCCAGCACAUUUCUCGGGAGCCCAGCAAUGCCGUGGCGUCUGAGGGUCGGCCUGAAUCAGAGAGCGCGGAAGACUGAGUGUCUAAUCGGAUUAGUGGGAGAAAAGGCUCUGAACCGUGUCCCCUGGACUUGAAGCCUCCUGGAUUAAGAGCAAUAACCUGUGAUUUGUGCAGCCUCUGCUCCAUUGUGGAAGGACAAAGACAAAAGAUCCAUCGUCUCUCAGAUCUUCUGGUCCCCCUUUGUCUUUUUAGUGCUGCACCUGCAGUACAUGGAGGCUCCCAGGCUAGGGGUGGAAUGGGAAUUGCAGUCGCCAGUCUACACCUCAGCCACGGCAACACCAGAUCCCCGAGCUGCCUCUGCGACCUACCCAACAACUCUCGGCAAUGCCGGCUCCUUAACCCACUGAGCGAGACCAGGGAUCGAACCUGAGUCCUCAUGGACACUAUUUGGAUUCGUUACCGCUGAGCCAAGAUGGGAAGAGCAAGACAGGGACUCUGAAGACCACCUAUCCAGACCCUCUUCAGUCAAUGGAGACGCUGACUGUCCACCUCUCUGCCUAAGAGGACAUCACACUCAGAAAAGUGUGUGAAGCGGGGUGGCACUGGACAGAGCCAGUGUUGUGGAAUUAAUUCUGGAAUCUGCUCAUCUGCCUGGGUCCAGUGCUAACCAACCUCUUCCCAGCUCUCAGUUUCCCAGCUCCUUUCCAUUCCUCUGCCUUUGACAUAGCACACGAGCUCUCUGCAAACUAGUGUUUUCAUGAAUUCCCAGCACCAAAAUAAGGAACGUGAAACCCUUGCUUAUUUCUUCAUGAGCUUCUACUGUACAGCACAGGGAACUAUAUCGUCUCUUGGGAUAGAUCACGAUGGAAGAUAAUAUAAGAAAAAGAAUGCGUGUGUAUUUAUGACUGAAUCACAUUGCUAUACAGAAGAAAUUGGCACAACCUUAUAAAUCAACUAUACUUAAAAAAAAAAAAAA
rnacentral:lncRNA from 1 species